rnacentral:tRNA from 1 species
GUGUGCGUAAUUUAAGCUAAAAUAUCAAGCUGUGACCCUGACAAUAGGAAGAAAUUUCCUCACACAC